GUGCUUGCUUCGGCCGCACAUGUACGAAAAUUGAAACGAUACAGAGAAGAUUAGCAUGGCCUCUAUGAGAGGAUGACAUGCAAAUUCGUGAAGCAGUCCAUUAUUAA
rnacentral:snRNA from 1 species